GAUGAACGCUGGCGGCGUGCCUAAUACAUGCAAGUCGAGCGAACGGACGAGAAGCUUGCUUCUCUGAUGUUAGCGGCGGACGGGUGAGUAACACGUGGAUAACCUACCUAUAAGACUGGGAUAACUUCGGGAAACCGGAGCUAAUACCGGAUAAUAUUUUGAACCGCAUGGUUCAAAAGUGAAAGACGGUCUUGCUGUCACUUAUAGAUGGAUCCGCGCUGCAUUAGCUAGUUGGUAAGGUAACGGCUUACCAAGGCAACGAUGCAUAGCCGACCUGAGAGGGUAACCGCCCCAACUAGAACGGGAACACGGACCAGACUCCAAGAGGGGGCGAGGAUGGGAAUACUUCCGCGCGGGGAGAAAGCCUGACGGAGCACCGGCGGGUGGGAAUGAGAGGUCUUCGGACUGAAAAACUGUUUUUUGGGGUAAAAACAUUUGUGUAAGUAAAUGACCGAAUCGUGACGGUACCUAAUAAGAAAACCGCGGCUAACUACGU
rnacentral:rRNA from 1 species